CAGUGGGGAAUAUUGCACAAUGGGCGCAAGCCUGAUGCAGCCAUGCCGCGUGUAUGAAGAAGGCCUUCGGGUUGUAAAGUACUUUCAGCAGUGAGGAAGGUGGAUAUGUUAAUAGCAUAUUCAUUUGACGUUAGCUGCAGAAGAAGCACCGGCUAACUCCGUGCCAGCAGCCGCGGUAAUACGGAGGGUGCGAGCGUUAAUCGGAAUUACUGGGCGUAAAGCGCAUGCAGGUGGUUUGUUAAGUCAGAUGUGAAAGCCCGGGGCUCAACCUCGGAAUUGCAUUUGAAACUGGACAAACUAGAGUACUGUAGAGGGGGUAGAAUUUCAGGUGUAGCGGUGAAAUGCGUAGAGAUCUGAAGGAAUACCGGUGGCGAAGGCGGCCCCCUGGACAGAUACUGACACUCAGAUGCGAAAGCGUGGGGAGCAAACAGGAUUAGAUACCCUGGUAG
rnacentral:rRNA from 1 species